rnacentral:rRNA from 1 species
ACGCUCGACACCUACGGGAGACAGCAGUGGGGAAUAUUGCACAAUGGGGGAAACCCUGAUGCAGCGACGCCGCGUGAGCGAAGAAGUAUUUCGGUAUGUAAAGCUCUAUCAGCAGGGAAGAAACUGACGGUACCUGACUAAGAAGCACCGGCUAAAUACGUGUCAGCAGCCGCGGUAAUCUGAGCGGGCUGGCAAGGC